UCUCCGUUGGUGAACCAGCGGAGGGAUCAUUACUGGAAUCGCAAGAUCCCACAACCCCUGUGUACCUACCGAAACGUUGCCUCGGCGGGGGCCCGGCCCGGCGCCCCGCGCUGAGCCCGCCGGCGGCCCCCUACUCUCGUCUCUGCAACGUGGCAUCUCGGAUUCCCAGAAAACAAGUAAAAACUUUCAACAACGGAUCUCUUGGCUCUA
rnacentral:misc_RNA from 1 species